GGGCGCUUAGCUCAGUUGGUUUAGAGCAUCACCUUGACAGGGUGGGGGUCACUGGUUCGAAUCCAGUAGUGCUCA
rnacentral:tRNA from 1 species